rnacentral:lncRNA from 1 species
AAAGAAGAGUGAUCAGGAUAGUUGCUGUUAGAGGUGGCAAUUUGUGUUUAUGUCUCGUAAUCGUGUCGACAAGAUUUCAAUACGAACAUGAUUAUAGGGAACACAAACAUGACAUGAUUAAUAAAUGUGUCAGGAUUCCUCAAUAUGUAUACGAAUCUGUUUAUUAAACGUAUUACCUGUUUAACAUGAUUAUUAAAUAUGUCAUGUC